AUUGAACGCUGGCGGCAGGCCUAACACAUGCAAGUCGAGCGGAGCGGCGGUCGGGGGAGUGAUGCCUAGGAAUCUGCCUGGUCGUGGGGGAUAGCGUCAGGUAACGGGCGCUAAUACUGCAUACUAUCAGAUGAGCCUAGGCCGGAUUAGCUAGUUGGUGGGGUAAAGGCAUACCAAGGCGACGAUCCGUAACUGGUCUGAGAGGAUGAUCAGUCACACUGGAACGGGGACACGGUCCAGACUCCUACGGGAGGCAGCAGUGGGGAAUAUUGGACAAUGGGCGAAAGCCUGAUCCAGCCAUGCCGCGUGUGUGAAGAAGGUCUUCGGAUUGUAAAGCACUUUAAGUUGGGAGGCGUUACCAACAGAAUAAGCACCGGCUAACUUCGUGCCAGCAGCCGCGGUAAUAC
rnacentral:rRNA from 1 species